AGGGGCUCCGGGACUCUGUGAUGAUGCCUGCUCCUUCCGUCUGCUGGAGUAUGUCCCGGACAUCUUCCACAUCUCGAGGGGGUAUUCUUCUUGACCUUUCUCUGAAAGGAGUAGGAUCAGCAAGUCUUAUAGCAUGGGUGGCACUCUUAGAACACCCCACGUCCAUCUCUGCUCUGGAGAACACUCCCUCUCGGGUGGCCAGUUUUGAAUGAAGGCUGUCUUUCCACUGCUGUGGUAGGGGAGAAUCUUCUAGAUCAAAAUCUAAAGGUGCUUUCACAUGAUCCUUCUGUUCUGCACUCGCAGACAUGAUGGAUGAAACUUGAUCUAAAAGGUGUAUUACACCAAUCUUCUGAUGACGAUCAAUCCGGAUUUCCGUG